rnacentral:rRNA from 1 species
GGGAACUCUAGUGAAACUGCCGUCGUAAGACGCGAGGAAGGAGGGGAUGAUGUCAAGUCAUCAUGGCCUUUAUGCCCAGGGCUACACACGUGCUACAAUGGGGAGGACAAAGGGCUGCCACUUGGCAACAAGGCGCUAAUCCCAAAAACCUCCUCUCAGUUCAGAUUGGAGUCUGCAACUCGACUCCAUGAAGCUGGAAUCGCUAGUAAUCGUAGAUCAGCAACGCUACGGUGAAUACAUUCCCGGACCUUGCACACACCGCCCGUCAAGCCAUGGAAGCCGGGUGUACCUAAAGUCGGUAACCGCAAGGAGCCGCCUAGGGUAAAAC